AAGCCGCGAAAUGUAGUGUGAAUUGCAGAACUCCAGUGAAUCAUCGAAUCUUUGAACGCACCUUGCGCUCUGUGGUAGUCCGCAGAGCAUGUCUGUCUGAGUGUCGCGCCCCCUCUCACCAAUCCCCUUUCUGUAGUGGAAAGGCCGGAGCGAGUGGAUCAUGGCCUAAUCUGUGUCGACCUUGCUUGGUCGAAGGCCGAAAACGCGCGUGAGCGCUUCGCUCCCCGCCGGUCGUCUUCCCGACUCUGGCGGCGGAGGCCGGAAACACCCUUCCGAUUGUACGCUUUAGCGAGCCCUUUGGACGGCCCGGUUCACGAAGAGCGCUUCGAGAUGUGACUAUUGAAAUUUCGACCUCAGAUCAGGUAGGACGACCCGCUGAACUUAAGC
rnacentral:misc_RNA from 1 species